UACGUAGGGCGCAAGCGUUGUCCGGAAUCAUUGGGCGUAAAGAGCUCGUAGGCGGUCUGUCGCGUCGGAUGUGAAAACUCGGGGCUUAACCCCGAGCCUGCAUUCGAUACGGGCAGACUAGAGUUCGGUAGGGGAGACUGGAAUUCCUGGUGUAGCGGUGGAAUGCGCAGAUAUCAGGAGGAACACCGGUGGCGAAGGCGGGUCUCUGGGCCGAUACUGACGCUGAGGAGCGAAAGCGUGGGGAGCGAACAGG
rnacentral:rRNA from 1 species